GAUGAACGCUGGCGGCGUGCCUAAUACAUGCAAGUCGAGCGAACAGACGAGGAGCUUGCUCCUUCGACGUUAGCGGCGGACGGGUGAGUAACACGUAGGUAACCUACCUAUAAGACUGGGAUAACUUCGGGAAACCGGAGCUAAUACCGGAUAAUAUUUCGAACCGCAUGGUUCGAUAGUGAAGGAUGGCUUUGCUAUCACUUAUAGAUGGACCUGCGCCGUAUUAGCUAGUUGGUAAGGUAACGGCUUACCAAGGCAACGAUACGUAGCCGACCUGAGAGGGUGAUCGGCCACACUGGAACUGAGACACGGUCCAGACUCCUACGGGAGGCAGCAGUAGGGAAUCUUCCGCAAUGGGCGAAAGCCUGACGGAGCAACGCCGCGUGAGUGAUGAAGGUCUUCGGAUCGUAAAACUCUGUUAUUAGGGAAGAACAAACGUGUAAGUAACUGUGCACGUCUUGACGGUACCUAAUCAGAAAGCCACGGCUAACUACGUG
rnacentral:rRNA from 1 species